rnacentral:sRNA from 1 species
GAAGAGGAAAUCAACAUGGGCGAGUACGCUGGCAGUGACAAACUGUACCAUCAGUGGCUCUCCACUGUCCGGAAAGGAAGUGGAGCAAUUCUGAAUACUGUAAAGACCAAAGCAAAUCCGGCCAUGAAGACUGUCUACAAGUUCGACAUUGCCGAGAAUGGCUGCGCCCCCACCCCAGAAGAGCAGCUGCCAAAGACUGCACCGUCCCCACUGGUGGAGGCCAAGGACCCCAAGCUCCGAGAAGACCGGCGGCCAAUCACAGUCCACUUUGGACAGGCAAAUUUUCAAAAAUUUUGAGGAGACAGCACGGCUGAGGUCAUAAAUGAGCGGGACUGUUGAAUGAAGUCAUUAAAUGCACUGCUGCCUCCCCUACUCCAAGGCACUCUGCUUAAGGUGCCUCUGUUAGCUAAGCAUCUCAUUAGAACACUUUAGCAUCCCAGGCCCUUCUUUGCACCUUCAAAUAAAAGGCAACAAGCGAAGUCUUAAAAAAAAUCAAUUAGGAGUUCUUUAUUAAUGUACUUCCUGAAAAUCAAUAUCAGGAGUCGUGCUUCUGAGAGUAAACACCCGUGCUACAAUUCUAGAGAUUCAAUUUUUUAAGCAACCGUUUUCAACUACCUGAGCAUUAGAAAAAUUGUCCAUUUAAUUUUUUUUCCCUUAAGUAAAACAUUCCACUCUGUAUAGAAACUAAAAUUUUGUAUCCCCUUCCUACUUGUAAUUAUAUUUUUGGUUAAAAAAGA